UUACAUUCUACCAGAGGAUUACGGUAAGCUUGUCAGUCAGUGCCCAGAGGCAGUCAACACAGUGCAGUUGUGCCAGGGAUGUCCUUCACAUUGUCUUCUGAAAGUGAAGAUGG
rnacentral:lncRNA from 1 species